GUUUAUUUUACCUUGUUGCUUCGGCGGGCCCGCCUUAACUGGCCGCCGGGGGGCUCCGGGUGGACGCUUCAAACUCUUGCAUAACUUUGCAGUCUGAGUAAACUUAAUUAAUAAAUUAAAACUUUUAACAACGGAUCUCUUGGUUCUGGCAUCGAUGAAGAACGCAGCGAAAUGCGAUAAGUAAUGUGAAUUGCAGAAUUCAGUGAAUCAUCGAAUCUUUGAACGCACAUUGCGCCCCCUGGUAUUCCGGGGGGCAUGCCUGUUCGAGCGUCAUUUCACCACUCAAGCCUCGCUUGGUAUUGGGCAACGCGGUCCGCCGCGUGCCUCAAAUCGACCGGCUGGGUCUUCUGUCCCCUAAGCGUUGUGGAAACUAUUCGCUAAAGGGUGCUCGGGAGGCUACGCCGUGAAACAAACCCAUUUCUAAGGUUGACCUCGGAUCAGGUAGGGAUACCCGCUGAACUUAAGCAUAUCAAUA
rnacentral:rRNA from 1 species